GGCCAACCUACCCUUAGGACGGGAACAACCCCGGGAAACUGGGGCUAAUUCCCGAUAGGCGAGGAGGCCUGGAAUGGUUCUUCACCUAAAGGGCGUCGGAGUCAUGCUUUCCGGCGUCGCCUAAGGAUGGGGCCGCGACCGAUCAGGUUGUUGGUGGGGUAAUGGCCUACCAAGCCUUUAACCGGUACGGGCCAUGAGAGUGGUAGCCCGGAGAUGGGCACUGAGAUAAGGGCCCAGGCCCUACGGGGCGCAGCAUGCGCGAAAACUCCGCAAUGCGCGAAAGCGUGACGGGGUUAUCCCGAGUGCCGUCCGCUGAGGAUGGCUUUUCUCUGGUGUAAAGCGCCGGAGGAAUAAGAGGAGGGCAAGACUGGUGUCAGCCGCCGCGGUAAUACCAGCUCCUCGAGUGGUGGGGACGAUUAUUGGGCUUAAAGCGUCCGUAGCCGGCUUGGCAAGUCUUUCGUUAAAUCCAGCGGCUUAACCGUUGGGCUGCGGGAGAUACUGUCAGGCUAGGGGGCGGAAGAGGCCGACGGUAUUCUCGGGGUAGGGGUGAAAUCCUAUAAUCCUGAGAGGACCACCAGUGGCGAAGGCGGUCGGCUAGUACGCGCUCGACGGUGAGGGACGAAAGCUGGGGGGAGCGAACCGGAUUAGAUACCCGGGUAGUCCCAGCUGUAAACGAUGCGGGCUAGGUGUUGGGGCGGCUACGUGCCGCUUCGGUGCCGC
rnacentral:rRNA from 1 species